UUAUUGGAGAGUUUGAUCCUGGCUCAGGACGAACGCUGGCGGCGUGCCUAAUACAUGCAAGUCGAGCGGACUUGAGGGAGCUUGCUCCCGAUGGUCAGCGGCGGACGGGUGAGUAACACGUGGGCAACCUGCCUGUAAGACUGGGAUAACUCCGGGAAACCGGGGCUAAUACCGGAUAAUUCAUUCCCUCACAUGAGGGAAUACUGAAAGACGGCUCCGGCUGUCACUUACAGAUGGGCCCGCGGCGCAUUAGCUAGUUGGUGAGGUAACGGCUCACCAAGGCCACGAUGCGUAGCCGACCUGAGAGGGUGAUCGGCCACACUGGGACUGAGACACGGCCCAGACUCCUACGGGAGGCAGCAGUAGGGAAUCUUCCGCAAUGGACGAAAGUCUGACGGAGCAACGCCGCGUGAGCGAAGAAGGCCUUCGGGUCGUAAAGCUCUGUUGUCAGGGAAGAACAAGUGCCGGAGUAACUGCCGGCACCUUGACGGUACCUGACCAGAAAGCCACGGCUAACUACGUGCCAGCAGCCGCGGUAAUACGUAGGUGGCAAGCGUUGUCCGGAAUUAUUGGGCGUAAAGCGCGCGCAGGCGGUCCUUUAAGUCUGAUGUGAAAGCCCACGGCUCAACCGUGGAGGGUCAUUGGAAACUGGGGGACUUGAGUGCAGAAGAGGAGA
rnacentral:ncRNA from 2 species